rnacentral:ncRNA from 1 species
UCUUCUGUGAGGGAGAAUCUAAAGGAAGCUGGACGCAAACACUUGCACUGACAAACAGAAACUUCAUAUGAAGGCUCGGUGGAAUGGAUAAACUUACGUAACAAAGUGAAGUCCAAUACUCAUCGAAAUUCCAUCGAGUAUAUAAAGCAGUGACGUGAAUCGAAAGUGACUACC